UUUCCGUAGGUGAACCUGCGGAAGGACCAUUACUGAGUGAGGGCCCCUCGGGGUCCAACCUCCCACCCGUGUUUAACGAACCUUGUUGCUUCGGCGGGCCCGCCUCACGGCCGCCGGGGGGCAUCUGCCCCCGGGCCCGCGCCCGCCGAAGCCACCUGUGAACGCUGUCUGAAGUAUGCAGUCUGAGACAAUUAUUAAAUUAAUUAAAACUUUCAACAACGGAUCUCUUGGUUCCG
rnacentral:misc_RNA from 1 species